CCUACGGGAGGCAGCAGUAAGGAAUAUUGGACAAUGGGCGCAAGCCUGAUCCAGCCAUGCCGCGUGCAGGAUGAAGGUGCUCUGCAUUGUAAACUGCUUUUGUUUGGGAAUAAACCCUUCUACGUGUAGAGGGCUGAAUGUACCAAAAGAAUAAGGGACGGCUAACUUCGUGCCAGCAGCCGCGGUAAUACGAAGGUCCCAAGCGUUAUCCGGAUUUAUGGGUUUAAAGGGUGCGUAGGCGGGUUAUUAAGUCAGUGGUGAAAGCCUACAGCUUAACUGUAGAAUUGCCAUUGAUACUGAUGAUCUUGAGUAUGAUUGAGGUGGGCGGAAUGUGUCAUGUAGCGGUGAAAUGCUUAGAUAUGACACAGAACACCGAUUGCGAAGGCAGCUCACUAAGUCAUAACUGACGCUGAUGCACGAAAGCGUGGGGUAGCAAACAGGAUUAGAUACCCUGGUAGUCCAGCCCUUAAACGAUGAUCACUCGAUGUGUGCGAUACACUGUACGCGUCUGAGCGAAGACGAUUAAGUA
rnacentral:rRNA from 1 species